rnacentral:rRNA from 1 species
UACAGAGGUCUCAAGCGUUGUUCGGAAUCACUGGGCGUAAAGGGUGCGUAGGCCGCACGGUAAGUCAGAGGUGAAAUCCCGGAGCUCAACUCCGGAAUGGCCUCCGAUACUGCCGUGCUCGAGGACUGGAGAGGAGUCUGGAAUUCACAGUGGAGCAGUGAAAUGCGUGGAUAUUGUGAGGAACACUAGUGGCGAAGGCGAGACUCUGGACAGUUCCUGACGCUGAGGCGCGACAGCGUGGGGAGCAAACAGG